AUCUAUCUAUAGGUCUUGACCAAAUUACGUGCCAGCAGUCGCGGUAAUACGUAGAAGACAAGUGUUAUUCAUCUUUAUUAGGUUUAAAGAGUACCAAGACGGUUAAUAAAGCCCAAAAUACAUGAGCACAGGGGACACAUUAACUAGAGUUAUAUGAAAGGAAGCAUUAAGGUACUGUUGAGUGUAGAGAUAAAAUUCAGUCAUACCAGAUGAAAGGCACAGAUUUAUGCGAAGGCAUCUUCUUAUGUAAUAACUGACGUUGUAGGACGAAGGCUUUUGAAGUGAAGAGGAUUAGAUACCCUUGUAAUUUAAGCAGAAAAUGAUGAAUGUYAUAGGUUUWAUAUAUACAGCCCAAAAAAAAAAGGGUCGAUGUUUUAUUGGGUCUAUAAAUGAAAGUGUAAGCAUUCCACCUCMAGAGUAAUUUGGCAACAUYGGAACUGAAAUCAUUAGACCGUUUCUGAAACCAGUAGUGAAGUAUGUUGUUUAAUUAGAUGAUACACAAAAAACCUUACCACAAUUUGAAUAUAUAUCAUUAAUGAUAUUUACNAGCGUUGCACGGCUGUCUUCAGUUAAUGUCGUGAGAUUUUGGUUAGUUCCAUAAAAUUAACGU
rnacentral:rRNA from 1 species